GGAAUAUUGGGCAAUGGACGCAAGUCUGACCCAGCCAUGCCGCGUGCAGGAAGAAGGCGUUAUGCGUUGUAAACUGCUUUUAUACAGGAAGAAACGACUCUUGCGAGAGGCAUUGACGGUACUGUAUGAAUAAGCACCGGCUAACUAUGUGCCAGCAGCCGCGGUAAUACAUAGGGUGCAAGCGUUGUCCGGAAUUAUUGGGCGUAAAGAGCUCGUAGGUGGUUUGUUACGUCGGUUGUGAAAUUCAGGGGCUCAACCCCUGACUUGCAGCUGAUACGGGCAAGCUAGAGUUUGGUAGGGGAGACUGGAAUUCCUGGUGUAGCGGUGGAAUGCGCAGAUAUCAGGAGGAACACCGAUGGCGAAGGCAGGUCUCUGGGCCAAUACUGACACUGAGGAGCGAAAGCGUGGGGAGCGAACAGGAUUAGAUACCCUGGUAGUCCACGCCGUAAACGGUGGGCGCUAGUUGUGCGAACCUUCCACGGUUUGUGCGACGCAGCUAACGCAUUAAGCGCCCCGCCUGGGGAGUACGAUCGCAAGAUUAAAACUCAAAGGAAUUGACGG
rnacentral:rRNA from 1 species